AAGCAGAAGGCCCUACACAGCAAUGAAUUAACACCAAAAGAGGCUGGAUGCUGGACAUGCGGCGACAAAGCGAUCUGUGACAAUAAGUAAAGUUAAAAAGGUCCUCCUUAAAGAAGAUUAGAAGAAAAGGUUGGAUUUGUUUUUCUACUGUGACAUUACUCAGCUACUCUUUUUUUUGAAGGUUGCCUGCCGCUGGCUUUGCAAACCGUUCUUCAGGCACCGCUCCACGUAGGAUUUGGGAUCGCAUCCGGAGAGGAGGAUCUCGCCGAGGAGAGCGAUGUAGGCGAUGGCCAGCCGGAGCGUGUCGAUUUUGGAAAGGCGCUUCUCGUAC